UUACCUAGUGAGCAGGUAUCAGGUUGAUCAGUAUGUUACCUUGUGAGCAGGUAUCAGGUUGAUCAGGAUGGUGUGUUACCUUGUGAGCAGGUAUCAGGUUGAUCAGUGUGGUGUGUUACCUAGUGAGCAGGUAUCAGGUUGAUCAGUGUGGUGUGUUACCUUGUGAGCAGGUAUCAGGUUGAUCAGUGUGUUACCUAGUGAGCAGGUAUCAGGUUGAUCAGUGUGGUGUGUUACCUAGUGAGCAGGUAUCAGGAUGGUGUGUUACCUUGUGAGCAGGUAUCAGGUUGAUCAGUGUGGUGUGUUACCUAGUGAGCAGGUAUCAGGUUGAUCAGUGUGUUACCUAGUGAGCAGGUAUCAGGUUGAUCAGUGUGUUACCUUGUGAGCAGGUAUCAGGUUGAUCAGUGUGGUGUGUUACCUUGUGAGCAGGUAUCAGGUUGAUCAGGAUGGUGUGUUACCUUGUGAGCAGGUAUCAGGUUGAUCAGGAUGGUGUGUUACCU